rnacentral:sRNA from 1 species
GUAUAACUGGACAUUUUUGGUAGACUGUAAUAGCUAACAUUUAGGUGGUUGUAUUUUUCCUAAAGGAAGGGUUCUUGGAGAAGUUUUCGUAUUUAGUUUAAGCAAUGAUAUUUUCUGUAGAUUGUGGACAAAGCCCUAGAAGAGCCAAAGUAUAGCUCACUGUAUGCUCAGCUAUGUCUGCGAUUGGCAGAAGAUGCACCAAACUUUGAUGGCCCAGCAGCAGAGGGUCAACCAGGACAGAAGCAAAGCACCACAUUCAGACGCCUCCUAAUUUCCAAAUUACAAGAUGAAUUUGAAAACCGAACUAGAAAUGUUGAUGUCUAUGAUAAGCGUGAAAAUCCCCUCCUCCCUGAGGAGGAGGAACAGAGAGCCAUUGCUAAGAUCAAGAUGUUGGGAAACAUCAAAUUCAUUGGAGAGCUUGGCAAGCUUGAUCUUAUUCACGAAUCUAUCCUUCAUAAGUGCAUCAAAACACUUUUGGAAAAGAAGAAGAGAGUCCAACUCAAAGAUAUGGGAGAGGAUUUGGAGUGCCUCUGUCAGAUAAUGAGGACAG